UUGGCUAUGUUAAAAGCCACGUUAACCUAGUUAACGUGGAGAGAGCAAGAAUCACCAACGUUAGUGACACUCACCUUUGUCACUAACGUUUGAUUGAGCCACUAUGAGCCACGUUAGUUGCCACGUUAAUUACAUUAACGUGGAAGCUAACGUGGAGAAGAGGGAUGAUGAGCUAACAUUAGUGACACUCACCUUUGUCACUAACGUUGGAGAUGGCUAUCAAUACCAUGUUAGAAGUCACGUUAACCUAGUUAACGUGAACUCUAACGUUGGGAAGUAGGGGCGUUCUAAAGCGUUAGUGACAAAGGUAAGUGUCACUAACGCUCUCGAAGAUUUGGCAAGCCUAUGUUAAAGGCCACGUUAACUGUUCUAACGUGAACUCUAACGUAGGGAGAAAGGGGUACUCUCAACGUUAUUAAAAAAGGUAAACCCCAGUAACGUUUGCGAAGGGCCAAGUGUCA
rnacentral:lncRNA from 1 species